rnacentral:rRNA from 1 species
ACCUGCAGUUCAGACUAGGUGAUCCACCUGAAGUUAAGCCGAUUUGGGCCUGGCCAGUAUGUGGAUGGGAAACCAACUGGGAAAGCUGGGUUGCUGCUGGUG